UGCUGGUGUUGUGGGCUGAGGACAGCGU
rnacentral:sRNA from 1 species